rnacentral:rRNA from 1 species
AUUGAACGCUGGCGGCAGGCCUAACACAUGCAAGUCGAACGAGUGGCGGACGGGUGAGUAAUGUCUGGGAAACUGCCUGAUGGAGGGGGAUAACUACUGGAAACGGUAGCUAAUCCCGCAUACAAUGAAGUGGGCCCAGAUGGGCGUGGAUUGUUGGUGGGGUAACGGCUCACCAAGGCGACGAUCCCUAGCUGGUCUGAGAGGAUGACCGGCCACACUGGAACUGAGACACGGUCCAGACUCCUACGGGAGGCAGCAGUGGGGAAUAUUGCACAAUGGGCGGAAGCCUGAUGCAGCCAUGCCGCGUGUAUGAAGAAGGCCUUCGGGUUGUAAAGUACUUUCAGCGGGGAGGCGUUACCCGCAGAAGAAGCACCGGCUAACUCCGUGCCAGCAGCCGCGGUAAUUC